GACGAACGCUGGCGGCGUGCUUAACACAUGCAAGUCGAGCGGAGCGGCGAACGGGUGAGUAACGCGUGAGUAACUGCCCCCCUCUCUGGGGUAACAGUUGGAAACGGCUGCUAAUACCUGAUAGUGGGGGAUGACUCGCGUCAUAUCAGCUUGAUGGUGGGGUAGUGUCCUACCAAGGCGACGCCGGGUAGCCGGCCUGAGAGGGCGACCGGCCACAUGGGGCAGAGGAACGGCCCAAGGUCCUUCGGGAGGAAGCAGUGGGGAAUAUUGCACAAUGGGGGAAGCCCUGAUGCAGCAACGCGCGUGGGAGAUGACGGCCUGCGGGUUGUAAACCGCGUUCAGCCAUGACGCGUUAGUGGCAGAAGAAGCACCGGCUAAUUACGUGCCAGCAGCCGCGUAAUUC
rnacentral:rRNA from 1 species